CCAAAAGAUUGCAGCAACGAUGAGAUUAAUCCAAUUACAGGAAUUGGUAUCCUAAAUGGCUUUUAGGUACGUAGCUUCAUUGACGGUACAAACUUGUUAAAAUUUCCAGCAUUCAUGUCUUUCGUUUUCCCUCAAGUAAACGUAGUCAAUACUGCAAAUGGUGUGGAAGUAUUGUACAUUGUGGCCCAAAUGUCCAAAAAUUCCCAUUGCUUGUAAAUCAAGUUUGGGUGAGAGAGAUGGGAGGAAGCAACAGCAAGUGUGAAGUCAAUAGACAAUUGAUAGUCUUAGGGUGAGUUUGGAUGGGCGGUGCGUUUAUCUGCGGUUAGUGUAAAAAUAGUGGUGGCGGUGAGAUUAGUUACUGUAGCAACACUGUAGCGUGAGACAAAAAAUAGGCUAAACGCACUGCACCACACUCAAUCGCCCAUCCAAACCCACCCUUAGUUUUAGCCUUUUUUUGUCGAGUUAAAAGUAUAGUCAAUAGACAAUGAAUAGUCUUAGUCUUUUUUUGUGGAGUUAAAAGUAUAGUCAAUAGACAAUUGAUAGUUAAAUCUGUAGCAGUCUUCUUCCUCUUUAUUCUUUUGUGUGGAAAAUUAUUUGACACCAAACUUGACUUUUUAUAAGGAUAUUUGGCUAAACGAGAAAUCGAAACCCAGCACGUUAGGACACUUUUUCUCGAAUUUCCAAACACAAAAUAUUGUCUUAAUUUAAAACUUUUCCCUCUUUUGAAUAAUUGUGAAUACAAUACCUAAACGAUGUGUAUUUUGU
rnacentral:lncRNA from 1 species